GUUUACAUAGCUAAAGUGGUUAAAGCAUUUGACUUGAAAUCAAAGUAUUGUAGGUUCGAUUCCUACUGUAAUUUUAACUUA
rnacentral:tRNA from 1 species